rnacentral:rRNA from 1 species
UGGGUCACCUCCCACCCGUGUUUAUUUUACCUUGUUGCUUCGGCGGGCCCGCCUUAACUGGCCGCCGGGGGGCUUACGCCCCCGGGCCCGCGCCCGCCGAAGACACCCUCGAACUCUGUCUGAAGAUUGUAGUCUGAGUGAAAAUAUAAAUUAUUUAAAACUUUCAACAACGGAUCUCUUGGUUCCGGCAUCGAUGAAGAACGCAGCGAAAUGCGAUACGUAAUGUGAAUUGCAAAUUCAGUGAAUCAUCGAGUCUUUGAACGCACAUUGCGCCCCCUGGUAUUCCGGGGGGCAUGCCUGUCCGAGCGUCAUUUCUGCCCUCAAGCACGGCUUGUGUGUUGGGCCCCGUCCUCCGAUCCCGGGGGACGGGCCCGAAAGGCAGCGGCGGCACCGCGUCCGGUCCUCGAGCGUAUGGGGCUUUGUCACCCGCUCUGUAGGCCCGGCCGGCGCUUGCCGAUCAACCCAAAUUUUUAUCCAGGUUGACCUCGGAUCAGGUAGGGAUACCCGCUGAACUUAAGCAUAUCAAUAAGCGGAGGAA